GGCUCCAUAGUGUAGUGGUUAGCACGUCUGCUUUAUACACAGAAGGUCCUGGGUUUGCGCCCCAGGUGGAGCCA
rfam:Pteropus alecto contig82402, whole genome shotgun sequence.